rnacentral:rRNA from 1 species
GCAUCUAGAUUAGAGUUUGAUCCUGGCUCAGAUUGAACGCUGGCGGCAUGCCUUACACAUGCAAGUCGAACGGUAACGCGGGGGCAACCCUGGCGACGAGUGGCGAACGGGUGAGUAAUAUAUCGGAACGUGCCCUAGAGUGGGGGAUAACUAGUCGAAAGACUAGCUAAUACCGCAUACGAUCUACGGAUGAAAGUGGGGGAUCGCAAGACCUCAUGCUCAUGGAGCGGCCGAUAUCUGAUUAGCUAGUUGGUGGGGUAAAAGCUCACCAAGGCGACGAUCAGUAGCUGGUCUGAGAGGACGACCAGCCACACUGGGACUGAGACACGGCCCAGACUCCUACGGGAGGCAGCAGUGGGGAAUUUUGGACAAUGGGGCAACCCUGAUCCAGCAAUGCCGCGUGUGUGAAGAAGGCCUUCGGGUUGUAAAGCACUUUUGUCCGGAACGAAACGGUUUGGGCUAAUACCUCGAACUAAUGACGGUACCGGAAGAAUAAGCACCGGCUAACUACGUGCCAGCAGCCGCGGUAAUACGUAGGGUGCGAGCGUUAAUCGGAAUUACUGGGCGUAAAGCGUGCGCAGGCGGUUGUGCAAGACAGAUGUGAAAUCCCCGGGCUUAACCUGGGAACUGCAUUUGUGACUGCACGGCUAGAGUGUGUCAGAGGGGGGUAGAAUUCCACGUGUAGCAGUGAA